rnacentral:rRNA from 1 species
UCUACGGGAUGCUGCAGUGGGGGAUAUUGGACAAUGAGGGGAACCCUGAUCCAGCGACGCCGCGUGCGUGCAGAAGUAUCUCGGUAUGUAAAGCUCUAUCAGCAGGGAAGCAGAAAUGACGGUACCUGAGUAAGACGCCCCGGCUAACUACGUGCCAGCAUCCGCGGUAUUACGUAGGGGGCAAGCGUUAUCUGGAAUUACUGGGUGUAAAGUGAGCGUAGACGGUGAGGUAAGUAUGGAGGGAAAGGCGGGGGCCCAAACACCGGACUGCUGGGGACACCAUGUAACUGGAGUGCAGGAGAGGUGAGCGGAAUGCCUAGUGUAGCGGUGAAAUGCGUAGAUAUUAGGAGGAACACCAGUGGCGAAGGCGGCUCACUGGACUGUAACUGACGUUGAGGCUCGAAAGCGUGGGGAGCAAACAGGAUUAGAUACCCGAGUAGUC